GUGUCAGCCGCCGCGGUAAUACGUAGGGUGCGAGCGUUGUCCGGAAUUAUUGGGCGUAAAGAGCUUGUAGGCGGUUUGUCGCGUCUGCUGUGAAAAUCCGGGGCUCAACCCCGGACUUGCAGUGGGUACGGGCAGACUAGAGUGUGGUAGGGGAGACUGGAAUUCCUGGUGUAGCGGUGAAAUGCGCAGAUAUCAGGAGGAACACCGAUGGCGAAGGCAGGUCUCUGGGCCACUACUGACGCUGAGAAGCGAAAGCAUGGGGAGCGAACAGGAUUAGAUACCCUGGUAGUCCAUGCCGUAAACGUUGGGCGCUAGGUGUGGGACUCAUUCCACGAGUUCCGUGCCGCAGCUAACGCAUUAAGCGCCCCGCCUGGGGAUACGGCCGCAAGGCUAAAAACUUAAAUGAAUUGGCGGG
rnacentral:rRNA from 1 species